GCCGGGACGCGUGUGCUGCCCAAGAUGGCGGCGUCCGCGCCCGGCCGGUGCUGCCCGUGCGGAGCGGCGGUGGCGGCUGACGGGCGCAGCUCCGAGGGACGCGUCCGAACUCGCUGGUUUCGGUAUUGCGAUACAUCUGUCCAAGAUGAGAGCCAAGGACUAAAGAUGAACUGGACACAAAUCGCAGCAAAUCGCAUGCCUUUCCUUCAAUUCCUGAGUGUGCACUGACAUCGUAAGAAAAGAAAAGCGCAGACUUAUUUACUGUUGUUAAAAAGAAAAAGGCUAGAGCCUAGAGUAGGACCAAGCACUGCUGGCUGUAGUCCAAGCCCUGUCCUACUGAAAAUGGAAAAGAAAAUAAAGAAACAACACCUGUGUCUGGAGCAAUGAUACAUUGGAAUGGGAUCUUGCCUUGCUG